GACGAACGCUGGCGGCGUGCUUAGCACAUGCAAGUCGAACGGAAAGGCCCUUCGGGGUACUCGAGUGGCGAACGGGUGAGUAACACGUGGGUGAUCUGCCCUGCACUUUGGGAUAAGCCUGGGAAACUGGUUCUAAUACCGAAUAGGACCACGCGCUUCAUGGUGUGUGGUGGAAAGCUCUUGCGGUGUGGGAUGGGCACGCGGCCUAUCAGCUUGUUGGUGGGGUAAUGGCCUACCAAGGCGACGACUGGUAGCCGGCCUGAGAGGGUGACCGGACACACUGGGACUGAGAUACGGCCCAGACUCCUACGGGAGGGAGCAGUGGGGAAUAUUGCACUAUGGGAGGAAGCCUGAUGCAGCGACGCCGCGUGGGGGAUGACGGCCUUCGGGUUGUAAACCUCUUUCAAUAGGGACGAAGCGAAAGUGACGGUACCUAUAGAAGAAGCACCGGCCAACUACGUG
rnacentral:rRNA from 1 species